CAUGCAAGUCGAACGGUGAACCAGGAGCUUGCUCUUGGGGAUCAGUGGCGAACGGGUGAGUAACACGUGAGCAACCUGCCCCUGACUCUGGGAUAAGCGCUGGAAACGGCGUCUAAUACUGGAUACGAACCACGAAGGCAUCUUCAGUGGUUGGAAAGAUUUAUUGGUUGGGGAUGGGCUCGCGGCCUAUCAGCUUGUUGGUGAGGUAAUGGCUCACCAAGGCGUCGACGGGUAGCCGGCCUGAGAGGGUGACCGGCCACACUGGGACUGAGACACGGCCCAGACUCCUACGGGAGGCAGCAGUGGGGAAUAUUGCACAAUGGGCGCAAGCCUGAUGCAGCAACGCCGCGUGAGGGAUGACGGCCUUCGGGUUGUAAACCUCUUUUAGCAGGGAAGAAGCGAAAGUGACGGUACCUGCAGAAAAAGCACCGGCUAACUACGUGCCAGCAGCCGCGGUAAUACGUAGGGUGCAAGCGUUAUCCGGAAUUAUUGGGCGUAAAGAGCUCGUAGGCGGUUUGUCGCGUCUGCUGUGAAAUCUGGGGGCUCAACCCCCAGCCUGCAGUGGGUACGGGCAGACUAGAGUGCGGUAGGGGAGAUUGGAAUUCCUGGUGUAGCGGUGGAAUGCGCAGAUAUCAGGAGGAACACCGAUGGCGAAGGCAGAUCUCUGGGCCGUAACUGACGCUGAGGAGCGAAAGGGUGGGGAGCAAACAGGCUUAGAUACCCUGGUAGUCCACCCCGUAAACGUUGGGAACUAGUUGUGGGGUCCAUUCCACGGAUUCCGUGACGCAGCUAACGCAUUAAGUUCCCCGCCUGGGGAGUACGGCCGCAAGGCUAAAACUCAAAGGAAUUGACGGGGACCCGCACAAGCGGCGGAGCAUGCGGAUUAAUUCGAUGCAACGCGAAGAACCUUACCAAGGCUUGACAUAUACGAGAACGGGCCAGAAAUGGUCAACUCUUUGGACACUCGUAAACAGGUGGUGCAUGGUUGUCGUCAGCUCGUGUCGUGAGAUGUUGGGUUAAGUCCCGCAACGAGCGCAACCCUCGUUCUAUGUUGCCAGCACGUAAUGGUGGGAACUCAUGGGAUACUGCCGGGGUCACUCGGAGGAAGGUGGGGAUGACGUCAAUCAUCAUGCCCCUUAWG
rnacentral:rRNA from 1 species